GGGUUAGUAGGUUGGUCAUGCCUCUGGUAUGUACUGAUCUCACUGAUUCCUCCCUCUUGACGAACUGUAAUGUCAUUAAUUUGGUGUUGCAGGAAAUCAGGACUGUUACUUUGAAAAAAUUAGAGUGUUUAAAGCAGGCUAAGGCUUGAAUACAUUAGCAUGGAAUAAUGAAAUAGGACGUUUGAUCCUAUUUUGUUGGUUUCUAGGAUUGACGUAAUGAUUAAUAGGGAUAGUUGGGGGCAUUAGUAUUCAAUUGUCAGAGGUGAAAUUCUUGGAUUUAUUGAAGACUAACUACUGCGAAAGCAUUUGCCAAGGAUGUUUUCAUUAAUCAAGAACGAAAGUUAGGGGAUCGAAGACGAUCAGAUACCGUCGUAGUCUUAACCAUAAACUAUGCCGACUAGGGAUCGGAUGAUGUUAAUUAUUUAAUGACUCAUUCGGCGCCUUACGGGAAACCAAAGUGUUUGGGUUCCGGGGGGAGUAUGGUCGCAAGGCUGAAACUUAAAGGAAUUGACGGAAGGGCACCACCAGGGGUGGAGCCUGCGGCUUAAUUUGACUCAACACGGGGAAACUCACCAGGUCCAGACAUAGUAAGGAUUGACAGAUUGAGAGC
rnacentral:rRNA from 1 species